AUUAAGAAUCUUGAAACAACAAAUCUUCUAUUUAGCCAAAGAGUAGCAACACAGUAACGUUUUCUUGAAGCAACAAAUCUUAUAUUUUGCCAAAGAGUAGUAAUACAGUAACGUUUAGAAACAAGAACUUUGAAAUCAGAAAACGUUCGAGGCAAACAUGAUUUCAUUCUAACGUCAAAGAAUCAAGGUGUAAAUUUCACAAAAGCAGAUUCAUUCAAAUAAUUCAAGAAAGAGGGAUGCUGCAUUUCAUGCAUGCAGGGUCAGACAGACAGACAGGUAGACCUCCUCAGUAGGUGUUUCCGGAGAUCAACUUUAUCGGUAAGCUCCCCUUCUCUCGGAGUUACCGGGGCUAGCAGUGGGGUGUGUAUCUUGUGUAUAUAUGUAGAUAGGUUAUGGGUAGGUCGGGGCCCUGUUCCGAUCAUAGUACAUCUAUCAUUAGAGGCUUGUAGAUAUGUCCUGUCAGUUAAUGCAGUAUGUUGGACUGGUAGUCCCCGUACGUAUAUUUUGUUGGCUUGUCAGUUGUAGUAAAUAUGACGGCCUUGCCGGCCCAGCCUUAUGUUGAUGGUUAGUCAACGUUAGUCUCUAUUCAGUUUUA